AUCCGUCAGGAGUAUGAGCACCAGGUUGGAGAGCAGGAGCGCUGGUGCGCACGCUUGUCUUGCUCACAAUGUUAGAGGAGAUAUUAAAAUGCCUCUGAUUCCAUCACUCCCACAGUCUUCCUUCUGCCCUGGAUGAGUCACACCGCCGGGUGCACGGAAGAUGUUCUCGGGGGCUCGGCCUUUCCAGAAGCUGCCCGGUGCCCAGGCAGGACCAAGCCCGGCAAAUAAGCGCCUCAUGGGGGUCCUCAUCUCCAGGCUUCGUCUGGGUGAAGUGAGGUCCAAGCGAGGGGCGCUUUGGAACACGACAGCUUAGCCGAGGGGCAGACUACGAACUGGACUGCACCGCAGGUUCCGGCUGCCUGGAUGUGAAGGGCAACUGGGAGACAGCUACCCUCCGGGAAGGCAGGCAGUCCACCACGGAGAGCCUCACCCGGAGCAAGAGGCACGACACGAGGUGACGGUUUCCAGGGCAGGGGUGUCUCCAGCUGGUGAGGGUUAGGGUGGCCGUGCGUACCUGAGGAAGACCGUGCAGCCGAAGCCAGGGCUGAGGAGGCCAGAAGCCACCAGCGGAACCAGAGACAGAGCUCGUUUGACCAAUGUCACCCUGUGUCCAACCGCACCAGAGCCCACAGAUGUACACUGACCAGCAGUUUUUAUCUGUACAAGAUUUGUCCUGCCACAGAGUCAGGGCACUCUCGUCAUGUAAAAUGAACUUUUAGAAAGCUUUCCAUCAACCACCACCACACUGCAAUAGUGUCAAAUGCACAAUGGGUUUUUAAAGUUGUGGGGUGUGUGUAUAUAUAUACAUACACACACAUAGAGACAUAUGUACAUAUAUUUAGAGAUAAGGUCUUAGUGAGUUGUUUCGGGCCUCACUAAGUUCCUGAGGCUGGCUUUGAACUCACAGUUCUCCUGCCUCAGCCUCUCGGUCACUGGGAUUACAGGCGUGCACUACCAUAUCCAGCAAUUUUUUUUUUAAAUUUUGAAAUCAUUUGCAUAAAACUACCUAGUUUGGUGCCAUUCGUUCAUUCAUUUAUUCAUGAUUACAGGUUCAAGGACCCAGUGAUUCAUUUUCCAAACUGGAGCAUUUUUCAGUGUAAAAAAUAUACUAGAUGAAUAUCAAGAAAAAAGAUAUAAAGCAAGACACUGCUGGACAAAGCAGAGAUAUUGUGGGUCCUGGGUUAGCUGCUGCUCAUUUUCUCUUGGGAACCCAGAGCAGGCAAAGGAAAGAGAAAGAAAGAGAAGGAAAGGACCAGACCCAAUCUCCCUGUAGACAUGCUAACCAAACCUGUGCUUUAGAAGCGUGCUCAUCCACUGAUUGCUCUAGCCCACGGAACCUGGUCCAUCUGGGCCGCUCAUGCUGAACAGACACAGAAUUUAUAGAUUUACACUGUACACAAGCACUGGAAAAUAUCAAUGUCAAACGUGUAAUUAAUGGAGAUAAUUCACAUUGGAAAUGCGCCUUCGUGGAAGCCCUGCCCUGUCCUCGCCUAGAGCCCUAUGUCAACUCCAGCCAAGUGAGAGCCCGUGAAUGGAGGCAGUGGGCUCAGUCUUGCUCCUCCACCAGGGACUCAUGGGUAGCUAUACUCUCUCAACUCCUAGCUAACUAUAAUGUUGGCACAAUUUCUGACUCUUGUGAGUCUGAUUUGAUAAUUGCCUAAUUUUUAUUAGAGAACUGUGCAGAACAUACGUUUAUUCUUUCCAUCCCUUCUCCACACUUGGGCAUACAGUGACCUCAGCUGUCACCCACGUGUGUGGGUCUCCCUUCCUGGCCUGCCCUUGCCUUUACUACUUUGCACAGUUAUAGACACGGUGCCUUUGGUGUAUUGCUGCUUUAUCCACAAAUACUUCAGUGUGCGUUUUCUAAACCCAAGUACAUUCUCUUAUGUAUCCACAGCACAAUGAUGACAGAGAGUCAGGAACUAACCUUGAUACAGCACUGCCGUCUGAUCUCCAGAUGCAUUUCAAAUUUUGCCAAGAAUUCUGCUAAUGUUCUUUAGAGAGAAACGAACAAGCAGACAGGAUUUGGGCCAGGGUCUGACCCAGGGUUAUGUCUGCAGUGGUGGUCUGGUCCCCUUGGUCUUUCUUGGUCCUUCAUGACCUUGACUUUUUUAAAAGAACACGUGGCCUGCACAACUUUUCAAAUAACAUGUUCAACUAGAGGGAGAAUUUUCUUACAAUUAGUUUAGCUAGAACAAUGGAGUCCUAUUGAAAGACAGAGUAUGCCCUACAGAUGACAGACAUAGAUAAAAAUGAUAAAUACUUAAUGUUGCAAGUAUCCAAUCAAGGAAUACAUGUAAAUUUCUUAUUUUUGUUUGCUUUGUUUAUUGUUCAACAAUGAAAUCAAAAUAACUUACAUCCAAACAGAAAUUUUGAAUAAACCUGUCCCUAUGAAGAAAAAAGCAUACUUUCAAAGAACCAGUUUUUCUUCUCAUCUCAUUUUCAUUUGAUGUUGAUUAAAAGAAAAUAUU